CGGGGCGUAGCGCAGCCUGGGAGCGCACUUGAAUGGGGUUCAAGGGGUCGGAGGUUCAAAUCCUCUCGCCCCGACCA
rnacentral:tRNA from 1 species